rfam:Mus musculus chromosome 7, GRC primary reference assembly.
UGUUCAAGCAGGCUGCUGGCUAUAUUCCAGAACUCAUCUGGUCCUGGAUAUAACCAAAGUCUUAUUGUAUG